rnacentral:rRNA from 1 species
GUGACCGAUAGUGAACCAGUACCGUGAGGGAAAGGUGAAAAGAACCCCGGGAGGGGAGUGAAAUAGAACCUGAAACCUUGCGCCUACAAGCAGACAGAGGAAGAAGACUUCUAAUGUCGUACUUUUUGUAGAACGGGCCAGCGAGUUACGAUACGUAGCAAGAUUAAACAUUUAAGAUGUGAAGUCGUAGGGAAACCGAGUCUUAAUAGGGCAAAAGUUGCGUGUUGUAGACCCGAAACCGGGUGAUCUAUCCAUGGGCAGAGUGAAGGUAAAGUAAAAUUUACUGGAGGCUCGAACCGGGUAGCGUUUAAAAGCUAUCGGAUGACCUGUGGAUAGGGGUGAAAAGCCAAUCGAACUCGGAUAUAGCUGGUUCUCCUCGAAAUAGCUUUAGGGCUAGCCUUGUUUUAGAUUACAGGAGGUAGAGCACUGAAUAGUCUAGGGGAAGUAAUUCUACCGAAACUUAUCAAACUCCGAAUGCCUGAAAAUCGAUGAACAGGAGUCAGACCAUGAGGGAUAAGCUUCAUAGUCAAAAGGGAAACAGCCCAGACCACCAGUUAAGGUCCCAAAAUACAGAUUAAGUGGGAAAGGAUGUAAUACUACUCAGACAACCAGGAUGUUGGCUCAGAAGCAGCCAUACAUUUAAAGAGUGCGUAAUAGCUCACUGGUCAAGUGGUAAUGCGCCGAAGAUGAACGGGGCUAAAUCUGAUACCGAAACUGUGGGAUAGAAAAGCAAUUAUGCGAGAAGUAUGAAGUAAAAGUGAUUAGGAAAUAUAUCAACUAGUAAAGUAAGAGAAAAAGACAUAAAAUAAAAUUUGUGAAAACACAAAAAGCGUAAAACUAUUAAACGAUACAAUUUCUAAAACACUUAACAACAUACAACUGGCAUAAUAGCUUUUCUAUCGGUAGAGGAGCGUUGUAUAUGAGAAGAAGCAAAAAGCGUAAGCAAUUGUGGAUUAUAUACAAGUGAGAAUGCUGGCAUGAGUAGCGAAAAGGGAUGUGAGAAUCAUCCCCGUCGAAAGCCCAAGGAUUCCUGAGCAAGGCUCGUCCUCUCAGGGUAAGUCGGGACCUAAGGCGAGGGCGAAAGGCGUAGUCGAUGGACAACAGGUAGAAAUUCCUGUACUACAAGAUUGUGAUUGAGAGAAGUACUGACGCAGAAGGAAAAGUCGAGCGUGCGAAUGGUUGUGCACGUCCAAAUAACAAGCCAGAAUAUACAGGCAAAUCCGUAUAUUCGCCAACGUAAGUUAUGAUGGGGAGCAGAAAGAUGCGAAGCGACAGAUUCAAACUGCCAAGAAAAGGUGCUAUCGAAUAAUCUUGUACCCGUACCGCAAACCGACACAGGUAGGCAAGAAGAGAAUUCUAAGACGCGCGGAAGAACCUUUGUUAAGGAACUCGGCAAAAUAAUCCCGUAAGUUAGCGAGAAGGGAUGCCUAAGAAAUUAGGUCGCAGAGAAUAGGCCCAAGCGACUGUUUACCAAAAACACAAGUAUCUGCUAAAUCGAAAGAUGAAGUAUAGGUGCUGACACCUGCCCGGUGCUGGAAGGUCAAGGGGACUUGUUAGAGCAAUCGAAGCAACGAACUUAAGCCCCAGUAAACGGCGGCCGUAACUAUAACGGUCCUAAGGUAGCGAAAUUCCUUGUCGGGUAAGUUCCGACCCG